rnacentral:lncRNA from 1 species
CGCGCUACCGUUGCGCCACGAGGUCUCCGGGACACCUACGUUUUAUUUACCUGUCAAUCUGAUUCAUGAAAAUAAUUUCGGUACUGGUGAAGACCAGGCAGCUAUUAACAGAUACAAAAUAGUGCCUAGCUGCUUCCCUCUCGAAAUACAUUCUGUUGAAGGUCAGUCGCUUUGGAAUGGGGUUGUAGAGAGGAGGUAGCGAAGAGGGAAUAAUGAGGAUCCUUCCUCUCCCAACUCCUCAUUAAGGAACUCUGAUCAAGGUGAGUUUUAAAUUCGUUUCCAAAGUUCACUGCAGGUCACAACCAGUGUUUCCGUUAACGAAUUCACGCGGGGGCUGGCAGGUUGUUUGUGCUGCAUCUUUUCUGAGAGAUAACGGCGCCUCCCUGUAGCCUCCGUUCUCAGCUGAUGAGAGAGUUGAUUUCACACCCCGAUAAUUCUUCAAAAUCAGAUCGCUGGACCUGAAACUGACCCUAAAAAGAACAAGAAAUCCUGUCAUCAGGAAAUUGAACCACCGAGGGAUCUGCUGACUCUUC